AGAGUUUGAUCAUGGCUCAGAACGAACGCUGCGGCGUGAUAGACAUGCAAGUCGAACGGGAUAUUAUUUGUAGCAAUACAAAUGAUGUCUAGUGGCGUAAGGGUGCGUAACACGUGGGCAAUCUGCCGAGAAGUGGGGGGAUAGCUCGCCGAAAGGCGAAUUAAUACCGCAUGUGGUUAGGAAGGACAUCCCUCCGACACCAAAGCCGGGGCAACCUGGCGCUUCUUGAUGAGCCCGCGGCCUAUCAGCUAGUUGGUGAGGUAACGGCUCACCAAGGCUAUGACGGGUAGCUGGUCUGAGAGGACGACCAGCCACACUGGAACUGAGACACGGUCCAGACACCUACGGGUGGCAGCAGUCGAGAAUUUUUCUCAAUGGGGGAAACCCUGAAGGAGCGACGCCGCGUGGAGGAUGAAGGUCUUCGGAUUGUAAACUCCUGUCAUUUGGGAACAAUUGCAGGCGAUUAACUGUCGCUUGUUUGAUAGUACCAGAAGAGGAAGAGACGGCUAACUCUGUGCCAGCAGCCGCGGUAAUACAGAGGUCUCAAGCGUUGUUCGGAUUCAUUGGGCGUAAAGGGAGCGUAGGUGGCGGAGUAAGUCAGGUGUGAAAUCUCGGGGCUCAACCCCGAAACUGCACUUGAUACUGCUUUGCUAGAGUACUGGAGAGGAGAUUGGAAUUUACGGUGUAGCAGUGAAAUGCGUAGAUAUCGUAAGGAAGACCAGUGGCGAAGGCGUAUCUCUGGACAGUUACUGACACUGAGGCUCGAAGGCCAGGGGAGCAAACGGGAUUAGAUACCCUAGUAGUCC
rnacentral:rRNA from 1 species